AUACCAGCCCCGCGAGUGGUCGGGGUGAUUAUUGGGCCUAAAGCGCCCGUAGCCGGCCCGGCAAGUCUCCCUCUAAAGCCCCGGGCUCAACCCCGGGAGUGGGGGAGAUACUGCCGGGCUAGGGGGCGGGAGAGGCCGAGGGUACUCCCGGGGUAGGGGCGAAAUCCUAUAAUCCCGGGAGGACCACCAGUGGCGAAGGCGCUCGGCUGGAACGCGCCCGACGGUGAGGGGCGAAAGCCGGGGGAGCGAACCGGAUUAGAAACCCCAGUAGUCC
rnacentral:rRNA from 1 species